GUGCCAGACUCCUACGGGAGGCAGCAGUGGGGAAUAUUGCACAAUGGGGGGAACCCUGAUGCAGCAACGCCGCGUGGGUGAAGAAGUAUUUCGGCAUGUAAAGCCCUAUCAGCAGGGAAGAAGAUGACGGUACCUGACUAAGAAGCCCCGGCUAAAUACGUGCCAGCAGCCGCGGUAAUACGUAUGGGGCAAGCGUUAUCCGGAUUUACUGGGUGUAAAGGGAGCGCAGGCGGCGCGGCAAGUCAGAUGUGAAAGCCCGGGGCUCAACCCCGGGACUGCAUUUGAAACUGCCGUGCUGGAGUGUCGGAGAGGCAAGUGGAAUUCCUAGUGUAGCGGUGAAAUGCGUAGAUAUUAGGAGGAACACCAGUGGCGAAGGCGGCUUGCUGGACGAUAACUGACGCUGAGGCUCGAAAGCGUGGGGAGCAAACAGGAUUAGAUACCCCUGUAC
rnacentral:rRNA from 1 species